UACGGAGGGUGCAAACGUUGCUCGGAAUCAUUGGGCGUAAAGCGCACGUAGGCGGCCGUGUAAGUCGGAUGUGAAAGCCCUGGGCUCAACCCAGGAAGUGCAUUCGAAACUGCACGGCUUGAAUAUGGAAGAGGGUCGCGGAAUUCCCGGUGUAGAGGUGAAAUUCGUAGAUAUCGGGAGGAACACCAGUGGCGAAAGGCGGCGACCUGGGCC
rnacentral:rRNA from 1 species